rnacentral:rRNA from 1 species
GUGCGCUACUAUGGAGCAGGGGGUACACCCGAUCCCAUUCCGAACUCGGAAGUUAAGCCCUGUAUCGUCGAAAGUACUGUCACGUCAGGUGAUGGGAGGAUAGAACGUAGCGCACA